GGGCUUGACAUCCCACGAACCUGCCCGAAAAGGUGGGGUGCCCGCAAGGGAGCGUGGAGACAGGUGGUGCAUGGCUGUCGUCAGCUCGUGUCGUGAGAUGUUGGGUUAAGUCCCGCAACGAGCGCAACCCUCACCCCUAGUUGCCACCGGGUUAAGCCGAGCACUCAAGGGGAACUGCCAGCGUCAAGCUGGAGGAAGGCGGGGAUGACGUCAAGUCAUCAUGCCCCUUACGCCCUGGGCUACACACGUGCUACAAUGGCCAGUACAAAGGGACGCGAGACUGCGAAGUGGAGCUAAUCCCAAAAAGCUGGUCUAAGUUCAGAUUGCAGUCUGCAACUCGACUGCAUGAAGGAGGAAUCGCUAGUAAUCGCGCAUCAGCCCGGCGCGGUGAAUACGUUCCCGGGCCUUGUACACACCGCCCGUCACACCGCGAAAGCGGUCUGUACUCGAAGUCGCUGAG
rnacentral:rRNA from 1 species